UUCGGCGCCGCCAUUCCGCCAUUGUUGUUUAGUCUUCGCUGUCGUCAUUUGAUGUUGAGUUGUUAAAGCCGUGUUAUCAUUUUAGUAGAUGUGAGUGGUAUAUGACAGUGUUGAAAACUAAACGGUUAACAUUUUGCUUGGGGUUUUAACACACUUUUUUUGACAUCUUUCGGCGCCGACAUUAUUGUUUAGUCUUCGCUGUCGUCAUUUGAUGUUAAGUUAUUAAAGCCAUGUUAUCUUUUUUGGUAGAUGUGAGUAACAUUACACAUAGCAGCGUUGAAAACUAAACGUUAAAUAAUAGUUUGCUAGGGAUGUAAACAGGGAGAAAAUGUACUAUGCAGCAAUAGAAAAACAAUUUGUCGACCCAAAGAGAAGCUACUCGACUUUCUGCGAUGCAUUUCUUGUAUGUUUUGCUUUAUAUUAUAAUUUUGGUGUUAAGUUUCCCAAAGAUGUAAGCACCACCUUGGAAAUGAUACAGAGGUAGUGGUGUACUGAACGACCAUCCAGAUUCCGGAACCAAAUCAAAGAAAGUGUCAGCAUCCAAAAAAAAGUAAUAUCAUUAAUUAAAAAAUUAAAAGAUAUGUAGGUAUAACCGCGGCUUUACAUUGUUAUAAAAUUAUAUAAUUAUAUAUUCGUUUUUUCUUGACUUAAUUUUUUUUGUGAUUUUUUUAAUUCCAACUAGGAAUGUUUUCUUAUUUACUUUUAGUUAAGAAAUUUAUUUGAUGUUUUUAG